UGAAAGCCCCGGGGCUCAACCUCGGAAUUGCAUUUGAAACUGGCAAACUAGAGUACUGUAGAGGGGGUAGAAUUUCAGGUGUAGCGGUGAAAUGCGUAGAGAUCUGAAGGAAUACCGGUGGCGAAGGCGGCCCCCCUGGACAGAUACUGACACUCAGAUCGCGAAAGCGUGGGGAGCAAACCAGGAUUAGAUACCCUGGUAG
rnacentral:rRNA from 1 species